AUAAUGUAAGCCUCGGCUAACUACGUGCCASCAGCCGCGGUAAUACGUAGGAGGCAAACGUUGCUCGGAUUUACUGGGCGUAAAGGGUGAGUAGGCGGACUUAUAAGUCUAAGGUGAAAGACCGAAGCUCAACUUCGGGAACGCCUCGGAUACUGUAAGUCUUGGAUAUUGUAGGGGAUGAUGGAAUUCUCGGUGUAGCGGUGGAAUGUGCAGAUAUCGAGAGGAACACCUAUAGCGAAGGCAGUCAUCUGGGCAUUUAUCGACGCUGAAUCACGAAAGCUAGGGGAGCAAACAGGCUUAGAUACCCUGGUAGUCCUAGCCGUAAACGUUGUACACUAGGUGCUUCUAUCUAAAUAGGAGUGCCGUAGCUAACGUCUUAAGUGUACCGCCUGA
rnacentral:rRNA from 1 species